rnacentral:rRNA from 1 species
GAUGAACGCUGGCGGCGUGCCUAAUACAUGCAAGUCGAGCGAACAGACGAGGAGCUUGCUCCUCUGACGUUAGCGGCGGACGUGUGUGUAACACGUGGAUAACCUACCUAUAAUACUGGGAUAACUUCGGGAAACCGGAGCUAAUACCGUAUAAUAUAUUGCACCGCAUGGUUCAAUAGUGAAAGACGGUUUUGCUGUCUCUUAUAGAUGGAUCCGCGCCGCAUUAGCUAGUUGGUAAGGUAACGGCUUACCAAGGCAACGAUGCGUAGACGACGUGAGAGGGUGAUAGGCGACACGGGAAGUGGGACACGGUCAAGACGACUAAGGGAGGCAGCAGAAGGGAAUGGUACGCAAUGGGCGAAAGCAUGACGGAGCGAGGCCGAGUGAGUGAUGAAGAUGUUCGGAUCGUAAAACUCUGUUAUGAGGGAAGAACAAAUGUGGAAGUAAAUAUGCACGUAUUGACGGUAACUAAUAAGAAAGCAACGGCUAACUACGUG